rnacentral:lncRNA from 1 species
AGAAGCCACGAAAUUGAGGUACGCAGAAGAUGAACAAACCUGAGAACUGAUGAUCCAAAGAAGAGUCGGAGCUCGAGCAUCACAUAGCUGUCAGCUAUGGUGGCUUGUAGGCGGAUGUGUCUCACACCUAAGUUUUUGCCGCUGGACCGUGGUUACGUUCAUCCUAGCUUGGAGGCAACGGUGUGGGUGGGUAUGCAUGUGCAAGGCGAAGAAGUGGACGACGGCCGAAGAAGCAAUCUCUGCCUCCCUAUCGCUGCGUCCUGCUCCUCAAUAUGUCACCUUAGUCAUGGCCGCCUUAUCCCUCAUGCUGCUGAUUUGAAUCUGCCCUACUCUUCUUCUCCUAGACUGCUCGAGCGCUUCAGCGGGUGCCUUGCCGACGACAGGGAAGGAAGGACCAGAGUAAGUACAAUAUGGAAGUUCCUGUUCAAAUUAGUAGAAUAUGCUUACUAGGUGUUAGAAUUUAUAGAUAUAUACCACAAUUUUCACUACAGAUUAAAUAUAAUAUGAAAGUUCUUGUUAGUUUUCUUUGUAGUUAGUUUGCGACAAUCACAACAUGACCAUUUGAAUAUUUUGUUGUAACAAAUCUAUUAUAGCUAUUGUUGUGAAAGAAAAAUCCUUAAAAAAUCACCCAAUAGCAACCCGAGGAAGUUAAGAGACAUAAAUGAUCCAGAUAUGGUUCCAUUAUGCUCCCUCUGUUCGAUAAUAUAUGACGUUUUCUGGCAGUACACAAUGCCAAAAACGUCUUAUAUUAUGGGACAGAAGCGAGUUUGUGAUUAUUUUCGGUUAUUCUUGAUUCCACAUGCUUCAUUUGGGUGAAUAAUCCAUUGGCAUCCAAAUUUGGAGAUUAAUUCACCUAUGUAAUGUGCAUAAUCAAUGACACAUUUUUGCUAUGAUGAAUAUGUAAAUAAAUUUUGUACAAUUCCAUAAAUACAUAGUUAAGAAUUUUUGUUGUAAAGAUAAUGUAGAUAAUUUUUUAUAGCUUUGCAAAUAAGAUUAACCUUGGUGUAUAAAUCCGAUCAGAGUAGAGGUAGCUAUGCAAUGGUCUUGCGUCACAUCAUUAGUCUAAGGCUCUAACCACAUUCAUGGAGAAUCUAACAUCUCAACUACGCAUAUCUGUUUGUUGCAGAAGCCACGAAAUUGAGGUACGCAGAAGAUGAACAAACCUGAGAACUGAUGAUCCAAAGAAGAGUCGGAGCUCGAGCAUCACAUAGCUGUCAGCUACGGUGGAUUGUAGGCGGAUGUGUCUCAGACCUAUGUUUUUGCCGCUGGACCGUGGUUACGUUCAUCCUAGCUUGGAGGCAACGGUGUGGGUGGGUAUGCAUGUGCAAGGCGAAGAAGUGGACGAAGGCUGAAGAAGCAAUCUCUGCCUCCCUAUCGCUGCGUCCUGCUCCUCAAUAUGUCACCUUAGUCAUGGCCGCCUUAUCCCUCAUGCUGCUGAUUUGAAUCUGCCCUAAUCUUCUUCUCCUAGACUGCUCGAGCGCUUCAGCGGGUGCCUUGCCGACGACAGGGAAGGAAGGACCAGAGUAAGUAUAAUAUGGAAGUUCCUGUUCAAAUUAGUAGAAUAUGCUUACCAGGUGUUAGAAUUUAUAGAUAUAUACCACAAUUUUCACUACAGAUUAAAUAUAAUAUGAAAGUUCUUGUCAGUUUUCUUUGUAGUUAGUUUGCGACAAUCACAACAUGAUCAUUUGAAUAUUUUGUUGUAACAAAUCUAUUAUAGCUAUUGUUGUGAAAGAAAAAUCCUUAAAAAAUCACCCAAUAGCAACCCAAGGAAGUUAAGAGACAUAAAUGAUCAGAAUAUGGUUCCAUUAUGCUCCCUCUGUUCGAUAAUAUAUGACGUUUUCUGGCAGUACACAAUGCCAAAAACGUCUUAUAUUAUGGGACAGAAGCGAGUUUGUGAUUUUUUUGGUUAUUCUUGAUUCCACAUGCUUCAUUUGGGUGAAUAAUCCAUUGGCAUCCAAAUUUGGAGAUUAAUUCACCUAUGUAAUGUGCAUAAUCAAUGACACAUUUUUGCUAUGAUGAAUAUGUAAAUAAAUUUUGUACAAUUCCAUAAAUACACAGUUAAGCAUUUUUGUUGUAAAGAUAAUGUAGAUAAUUUUUUAUAGCUUUGCAAAUAAGAUUAACCUUGGUGUAUAAAUCCGAUCAGAGUAGAGGUAGCUAUGCAAUGGUCUUGCGUCACAUCAUUAGUCCAAGGCUCUAAGCACAUUCAUGGAGAAUCUAACAUCCCAACUACGCAUAUCUGUUUGUUCCAGAAGCCACGAAAUUGAGGUACGCAGAAGAUGAACAAACCUGAGAACUGAUGAUCCAAAGAAGAGUCGGAGCUCGAGCAUCACAUAGCUGUCAGCUAUGGUGGCUUGUAGGCGGAUGUGUCUCACACCUAAGUUUUUGCCGCUGGACCGUGGUUACGUUCAUCCUAGCUUGGAGGCAACGGUGUGGGUGGGUAUGCAUGUGCAAGGCGAAGAAGUGGACGAAGGCCGAAGAAGCAAUCUCUGCCUCCCUAUCGCUGCGUCCUGCUCCUCAAUAUGUCACCUUAGUCAUGGCCGCCUUAUCCCUCAUGCUGCUGAUUUGAAUCUGCC